rnacentral:rRNA from 1 species
AUUGAACGCUGGUGGCAUGCCUUACACAUGCAAGUCGAACGGCAUCGCGGGAAAGCUUGCUUUCCUGGCGGCGAGUGGCGAACGGGUGAGUAACACAUCGGAACGUACCGGCUAGUGGGGGAUAACCCGUCGAAAGACGGGCUAAUACCGCAUACGCUCUUCGGAGGAAAGCAGGGGACCUUUGGGCCUUGCGCUAGCCGAGCGGCCGAUGUCCGGUUAGCUAGUUGGUGGGGUAAAGGCCUACCAAGGCGACGAACGGUAGCGGGUCUGAGAGGACGAUCCGCCACACUGGGACUGAGACACGGCCCAGACUCCUACGGGAGGCAGCAGUGGGGAAUCUUGGACAAUGGGGGCAACCCUGAUCCAGCAAUGCCGCGUGGGUGAAGAAGGCCUUCGGGUUGUAAAGCCCUUUCGGCAGGGAAGAAAUCGGCGGGGCGAAUAACCCUGCUGGAUGACGGUACCUGCAGAAGAAGCACCGGCUAACUACGUG